CGAACAAGAAGCCCUUUUCUCCUAGGAUUUCUUCAUGAUACCUGAAGGUCCCGGAUUUCGACGUCCAACUUGAGAGUGUCAACGGAAGUGAUUCCAUAGUUAUCUGCUACUGAAAACUCAGUCUGUACAAUUUACAAGGAGGAAACCAGACAUGGGAGAAGAGAGAAAAGAGAGAAAAGGCGUCGUGUCGGCCUCUUGAACCUUUUCCCCAGCUUGCCGCAGCCUCUUCAGCAGCAGGGGGCGCCGCUGAAGCACAGAAGAGUGCCCACCACAAUUUCAACCAGGAGGGGAGUGAGUUCAAAAGACACAAGCAAGAGCAACAGUGGCAAUAAUGACACACAAAAAAAAAUAAAAAUGUAUAAAACAAAAAUCAAUCUCAAUGUAAAUG